rnacentral:rRNA from 1 species
CGCCUGGGGAGUACGGCCGCAAGGUUAAAACUCAAAUGAAUUGACGGGGGCCCGCACAAGCGGUGGAGCAUGUGGUUUAAUUCGACGCAACGCGAAGAACUUACCUGGCCUUGACAUCCAGAGAGCUUUCCAGAGAUGGAUUGGUGCCUUCGGGAACUCUGAGACAGGUGCUGCAUGGCCGUCGUCAGCUCGUGUCGUGAGAUGUUGGGUUAAGUCCCGUAACGAGCGCAACCCCUAUCCCUGGUUGCUAGCAGGUAAUGCUGAGAACUCCAGGGAGACUGCCGGUGACAAACCGGAGGAAGGUGGGGAUGACGUCAGGUCAUCAUGGCCCUUACGGCCAGGGCUACACACGUGCUACAAUGGCGCGUACAGAGGGCUGCCAACUCGCGAGAGUGAGCCAAUCCCUUAAAACGCGUCGUAGUCCGGAUCGGAGUCUGCAACUCGACUCCGUGAAGUCGGAAUCGCUAGUAAUCGCGAAUCAGAAUGUCGCGGUGAAUACGUUCCCGGGCCUUGUACACACCGCCCGUCACACCAUGGGAGUGGAUUGCACCAGAAGUAGUUAGUCUAACCUUCGGGAGGACGAUUACCACGGUGUGGUUCAUGACUGGGGUGAAGUCGUAACAAGGUAACCGUA